UACGUAGGUGGCAAGCGUUAUCCGGAUUUAUUGGGUUUAAAGGGUGCGUAGGCGGAUUUUUAAGUCAGCGGUAAAAUGUCCGGGCUCAACCCGGGCCGGCCGUUGAAACUGGGGAUCUUGAGUGGGCGAGAAGUAUGCGGAAUGCGCGGUGUAGCGGUGAAAUGCAUAGAUAUCGCGCAGAACUCCGAUUGCGAAGGCAGCAUGCCGGCUCCACACUGACGCUGAGGCACGAAAGCGUGGGUAUCGAACAGG
rnacentral:rRNA from 1 species